GUGUGCUAAGUGGGGAGUUAGCGGUGCCCUGUACCCGCAAUCCGCUCUAGCGGGACCGAAUUCCUGCACGCGAAUACUGAUUCAUCUUGAAGGUUGAAGAAGUGGUGUUGAGAAUCAAGCCCGACGCAAUUGUGAACUGAGAACCAGGUCAGAUCCGGAAGGAAGCAGCCUUAAACAGAUCUUACGAUGUGCCGCCGGUCACCUUGGUUUGAGCUAACUGCUCAAUUUUCCUGCUGAUAGGUAUCAACUGCAGGUGCACAC
rnacentral:SRP_RNA from 1 species